rnacentral:tRNA from 1 species
GAGUGUAUAGCCAAGUGGACAAAGGCAACGCGCUGUAGACGCGUUAGCGUAAAGCUUUCGUAGGUUCGAAUCCUACUGCACUCA